rnacentral:tRNA from 1 species
GACGAUAUAGCUCAGAGAUAGAGCAUGUGCUCAGUACGCAUGGGGUCCUUGGUUCAAUUCUCAGUACCGCCA